GUGCUUAACACAUGCAAGUCGAACGGUGAAGCCCAGCUUGCUGGGUGGAUCAGUGGCGAACGGGUGAGUAACACGUGAGCAACCUGCCCCUGACUCUGGGAUAAGCGCUGGAAACGGCGUCUAAUACUGGAUACGAGACGUGAUCGCAUGGUCAACGUCUGGAAAGAUUUUUCGGUUGGGGAUGGGCUCGCGGCCUAUCAGCUUGUUGGUGAGGUAAUGGCUCACCAAGGCGUCGACGGGUAGCCGGCCUGAGAGGGUGACCGGCCACACUUGGGACUUGAGACACGGCCCAGACUCCUACGGGAGGCAGCAGUGGGGAAUAUUGCACAAUGGGCGGAAGCCUGAUGCAGCAACGCCGCGUGAGGGAUGACGGCCUUCGGGUUGUAAACCUCUUUUAGCAGGGAAGAAGCGAAAGUGACGGUACCUGCAGAAAAAGCCCGCUACU
rnacentral:rRNA from 1 species